GUGAAUCAUCAAAUCUUUGAACGCAAAUUGCACUCUCUGGUAUUCCGGAGAGUAUGCCUGUUUGAGGAUCAGUUUAAAUAAAAAUCGGUUUGGUUGCUGCCUUUCGUGGUGACGCACCGGAUUUGGAUCGUAUUGCCUUCGGUUAAGUAUCCUUAUAUUUUGCAUGAUUUUUUUCGAAAGUAUUUAAAUGAUUUUACGUUCAUUUCUGUUGAUGAAUACUAGG
rnacentral:misc_RNA from 1 species